rnacentral:rRNA from 1 species
GAUGAACGCUGGCGGCGUGCCUAAUACAUGCCAGUCGAGCGAACGGACGAGAAGCUUGCUUCUCUGAUGUUAGCGGCGGACGGGUGAGUAACACGUGGAUAACCUACCCAUAAGACUGGGAUAACUUCGGGAAACCGGAGCUAAUACCGGAUAAUAUUUUGAACCGCAUGGUUCAAAAGUGAAAGACGGUCUUGCUGUCACUUAUAGAUGGAUCCGCGCUGCAUUAGCUAGUUGGUAAGGUAACGGCUUACCAAGGCAACGAUGCAUAGCCGACCUGAGAGGGUGAUCGGCCACACUGGAACUGAGACACGGUCCAGACUCCUACGGGAGGCAGCAGUAGGGAAUCUUCCGCAAUGGGCGAAAGCCUGACGGAGCAACGCCGCGUGAGUGAUGAAGGUCUUCGGAUCGUAAAACUCUGUUAUUAGGGAAGAACAUAUGUGUAAGUAACUGUGCACAUCUUGACGGUACCUAAUCAGAAAGCCACGGCUAACUACGUG